rnacentral:rRNA from 1 species
AAAGCGUGCGCAGGCGGUUAUGUAAGACAGAUGUGAAAUCCCCGGGCUCAACCUGGGAACUGCAUUUGUGACUGCAUGGCUAGAGUACGGUAGAGGGGGAUGGAAUUCCGCGUGUAGCAGUGAAAUGCGUAGAUAUGCGGAGGAACACCGAUGGCGAAGGCAAUCCCCUGGGCCUGUACUGACGCUCAUGCACGAAAGCGUGGGGAGCAAACAGGAUUAGAUACCCGUGU